UAUUCAGUGAUUGAUUUAUUAACACGGAUAACAUCUCUAUAUUUGGAACGUUUCAGUAAUAAUUUGAUAAAAAGUAUGCCAGUAAAAAAGGAAGACAACAACAAAAGAUCAGUCGCUGCUAAAAGCAAAAUGAAGUAUGAAAGUGGAAUAAAAUCUGUUGACGAAGAGA